UCCGUUCCAAUUGAAAAAACAUACCGCAAACUGAAACGGAAUGACAAAUCCACAGUGCUUUGGAAACAAUAUUUCCCCAUUUCUUGAAAAAAAUAAAAUAGUAAACAAUUAAAAGCUAAAAACUACUGGUUUAGCUAGCGGCUGGCUUGCUCUUCUGGUUCGGUGUUUUGUUGGCCAAUUGAAACAUUAGGGUUUCUUCGGCGACCUGCGGAUCAAGCUCCCUGUAGAUUAUCUUGGCGGAAAGAAAGAGGUAACUUUCUUGCAUCACUUGAAGUGAAAUUCAAUUCAAUCCAAUCCCCAUGUUCUAUUUUCUCAGCAAAUCCGUUCUCCAGUAUGGGAGACACACUACUGCCGUUUCACCCACCCACAAGCACUUUUCAUUUCAACUCUCACCUUCAACUCUCACUCUUAGAUUCUUCAUCUCAACCCUUGAAAAUCCAAAUAAACACUCAUUUGCAGCCUCUUAUCUCAUAAGCAAAUUUGGGUUCUCUCCUGAUUCUGCUCUUUCAGCUUCUAAACAUCUCAAUUUUACAACCACAGAAAAACCUGACUCUGUGAUUCACAUUUUCAAGCACUAUGGUUUCUCUCAGGUUCAAACCUUAAAACUCGUUAAAAAAUACCCACGAGUGCUUUCGUGCAACCCUGAGAAAACCCUUUUGCCUAAACUAGAGUUUUUCCACUCUAAAGGCAUGUCAAACAAUGACAUUGCACGCAUUUUAUGUACGUAUCCUCAUAUUUUAGUUAGAAGCUUGGAAAACUGUAUAACUCUUAAUUUUAACUUCCUUGGCAAUUUGCUUCAAUCUAAUGACAAGACAAUUGCUGCUGCUAAAAGAUACUCGCCUAUUCUAUAUCAUAAACCCGAUAGAUUCUUGAAACCUUGUAUCGACAUUUUGGAAGAGUAUGGAGUCCCCAAAAAGCAUAUUGCUUCAUUGGUUCACCGUUGGCCUAGGUCUGUCAUGAUGUCUCCGAAUUAUCUGAGAAGAAUUGUAGAGAAGGUGAGAGAAAUGGGAUGUGAUCCUCUUAAGCCACAGUUUACUACGGCAGUGAUGGUGAUGAGUCUACUGAGCCAAUCUGGGUGGGAAAGGAGGCUGGGUGUUUAUAAGAGUUGGGGUUGGUCUGAGGAAGACGUUCAUGCUGCUUUCAUAAAGGAGCCUUGGUGCAUGAUGACAUCAGAUGAUAAGAUUAUGGCAGUGAUGGAUUUUUUGGUCAACAACAUGGAUUGUGAGCCUUCAUUUAUUGUGAAAAACCCCUAUCUUUUGAAGCCAGGCUUGAAGACAACAUUUAUACCAAGAGCUUCAGUUGCUCAGUUUUUGUUAUCGAAACAGUUGAUUAAAAGGAAGCCGAACUUGGUUACUCUGUUUUUGUGUUCUGAGAAGAUGUUCCUUGAGAAAUUCGUGUAUCGUUUUGAAGAAGCCCCUCAGCUAUUAAAGCUGUAUGGAGAUCAAUCAAAUCUUUCAAAAUGACAUGGAAAUGUAACCAUUUUGUGAAUCGUUUUUCUCUCUCCAGCUGUAUUUGGAUACUGUAAUGCAACUACAAGGACUAGCUAGCUUUCGACUCCAUGCCACAUGUUUUUGCUUGGCAUGUAGCUGACUGGGAGCUUGCUUUUGCGUCUCUCACUGAUCAUAGCUGCCUUCAGUCGCACCAGCUCCAACAACAUGUGUUUGUCGAGCCCUUCUGACAUCCAAAUUUUAUGUUGCAGUCUCUGUUUUUACUGUACCUUUUGACUCACUGCUGCUUUCUUUAACCGUCACUUUUGUUGUCUUGUUAACCAUUUUUUAUUCAGCUUUGUUAACCUUAAAAUUCAUGUUUUCCACGAGUCUUAUAAAAUGUCUUCCUCUCUCUCUGACUUUGUUUUCUCAAUUCCUUGGAUUCAAUUUUUCCUUCUCUCCAAUUGUCUUUCAACUCGCUCUGUGACACACGAUUAUGGAGACAGCCUGCGGGGCCAAGGUGACGAGUACAAUAAUAAAAGUUGUAGACUUAAAGUGUUGUUUUAGUUGUUAUAGAAAGCUAUUUAAUUC